rnacentral:snRNA from 1 species
GGAUGUGAGGGCGAUCUGGCUGCGACAUCUGUCACCCCACUGAUCGCCAGGGUUGAUUCAGCUGACCUGGCUAGCUAGGCGGGUGUCCCCUUCCUCCCUCACCGCUCCAUGUGUGUCCCUCCCGAAGCUGCGCGCUCGGUUGAAGAGGACAGCCUUCCCCGAAUAGAGACAGACCGGUCUUCGGUCGAGGAUAUGUGAAUAGCUGCGCUCCCCUGCUAGAACCUCCAAACAAGCUCUCAAGGUCCAAAGUAAGAAGUGGCAGGAGUUGCUGGAGCAGAGAUUAGCAAGAAUCCGGGGGUGGAGUGUUUCAGUACUGUGUCUC